rnacentral:tRNA from 1 species
UGGGGUUAGAAUAUGGUGCAACCGGGAGGAUUCGAACCUCCGACCGCUCGGUUCGUAGCCGAGUACUCUAUCCA